GACGAACGCUGGCGGCGUGCUUAACACAUGCAAGUCGAACGGAAAGGCCCUGCUUGUGUGGGGUGCUCGAGUGGCGAACGGGUGAGUAACACGUGAGUAACCUGCCCUUGACUUUGGGAUAACUUCAGGAAACUGGGGCUAAUACCGGAUAGGAGCUCCUGCUGCAUGGUGGGGGUUGGAAAGUUUCGGCGGUUGGGGAUGGACGCGCGGCUUAUCAGCUUGUUGGUGGGGUAGCGGCUUACCAAGGCUUUGACGGGUAGCCGGCCUGAGAGGGUGACCGGCCACAUUGGGACUGAGGUACGGCGCAGACUGCUACGGGAGGCAGCAGUGGGGAAUAUUGUCCAAUGGGCGGAAGUCUGAUGCAGCAACGCCGCGUUCGGGAUGCCGGCCUUCGGGUUGUAAAACGCUUUCGCCUGUGACGAAGCGUGAGUGACGGUAAUGGGUAAAGAAGCACCGGCUAACUACGUG
rnacentral:rRNA from 1 species